rnacentral:rRNA from 1 species
UACGAAGGGGGCUAGCGUUGUUCGGAUUUACUGGGCGUAAAGCGCACGUAGGCGGAUCGUUAAGUCGGGGGUGAAAUCCUGGAGCUCAACUCCAGAACUGCCUUCGAUACUGGCGAUCUUGAGUCCGGAAGAGGUGAGUGGAACUGCGAGUGUAGAGGUGAAAUUCGUAGAUAUUCGCAAGAACACCAGUGGCGAAGGCGGCUCACUGGCCCGAUACUGACGCUGAGGCACGAAAGCCAGGGGAGCAAACGGG